rnacentral:misc_RNA from 1 species
AUGGCUGACAAGUCAAAAACUAGUUCAAAGCUUCUCGUAAAAACUCCACUAUCUAACUUAAACCCCAAUGUUCUAGAGGAGCUUGGAAUGUUCCUAAAUCCAAGAUUAAUUUCAAAAGAUGUAAGAACACUAAGUGGAAAGCUUGGUUAUUCGUUGCGACGAGUGCAAAACUUCGAGAGAGAGCGGAAUCCCACAGCGUGCAUGCUCGAGGAUUGGUCGACGUGUUACGAAGAAGGCCAAGAAAAGACUGUUUCUGAGCUUUUAGUCAAGCUUGAGGAAAUGAAGAGACAUGACGCUGUUGAUUUUUUGAAACCUUACGAGUUUUCAGAAGUACAACAGGAAUCGUCAUUACAACCUGAGGAAAAUGAUUUACCAAUUCAUGAGGACUCUUUAGUGAAUACCCUUCUUGAAGCUCCAAGAUUUACAGAAAUUCCAGUUGUUACAGAUAAAGUGGCACUGGUGAUUGGUAAUAUGAAAUAUAGUCAUGAGAAACUGAAUCAGCUGAUGUACCCAGAACAUGAUGCAAGAGAUGUGGCUGCAGCAUUGCAUGAGCUAGAAUUCAAGGUUUUUUCCCUGGUCAAUUUGACACUGAGUGAGAUGAGAAUUACAGUUCAUUCAUUCUGCAGGCUUCUGGGAAAGGGAGUAUAUGCUGUUCUGUACUAUGCAGGGCAUGGAUAUGAAGAUCACGGAAAGAACUACCUCAUUCCAGUAGAUGCAGACUUGUCAUUCAAGAGAGAGGACAGCUUCUGUGCUCAGGAAAUCUUGCAAACCAUGCAGGAAUGCAAUACGUCACUAAAUCUACUCAUUAUAGAUGCAUGUAGAGUAAGGCCUCCAACCAAAGAUCAGAUUCCAACAUUCAUUAAACGAGGAACAAAUGGCAAUAAUAUCUUUGCAUAUUCAUGCUGCUCACAACAAGUAGCCUUUGAAGAGCAUGACCAGAGGAACGGUCUCUACGCUCAGCAUCUAUUGAAACAUAUUAGAAGGAAUGUCAGGAUUGAGAACAUCUUGAUGGAUGUUGCUGCAGAUGUUGCCCUUACCAUCAGUUAUUGCACUGACAACAGCAUUCACCAAAGACCAUGCCAUGAAAGUGAUGCUUACAUCGAUUGCAGACUUACUGAUCCAAUUAUCCCAGGAGUCUUACAGGAUGUAGAUUAUCAUGAGAGGAUGCAACUAUGGCAAAAGGCUCACACCCUGCCAGAUCCUUUUGUGAUCCUGGAAAAUGAGGACCUACAUCUAAAGGUUCAAUUUAUUGCGAAGUUCUCCAAUGUAAUGGAGGUAUUGCUGACAUUAUGUAACAAAACAUCUCUUCCAAUGAAAGACUGUGUGGUGGAACUCAUUGUGGAUUCAUUUGUUCAGAUAUCACCAUGAUAUCAGGAGAUGAAGUCAAGCCUGGUGAACAGCUCAAACAAGUUGUUCAAAUAUCUGCUUUGCAAAAGCUAAACGACUAUCUAGCCGUUGACCUCCAAAUCUUUUAUGAUUUCAAUGGAGAGUUAGUCAGUUGGACUUCAUCUAAGGUUGACCUGAGAACUCCUCUAAUUUCCUCUGUCUUCGCGGAAUGGGACUGGUGGGUUACCUGUGGU